UACGUAGGGACCAAGCGUUGUUCGGAUUUACUGGGCGUAAAGGGCGCGUAGGCGGCGUGACAAGUCACUUGUGAAAUCUCCGGGCUUAACCCGGAACUGCCAAGUGAUACUGUCGUGCUAGAGUGCGGAAGGGGCAAGUCGGGAAUUCUCGUGGUAGCGGUGAAAUGACGUAGAUAUCGAGAGGAACACCUGAGGUGAAGACGGGUUGCUGGGCCGACACUGACGCUGAGUGCGCGAAAGCCAGGGGAGCAAACGGG
rnacentral:rRNA from 1 species